rnacentral:lncRNA from 1 species
GAAACCCUAGCUUCCAUAAGCUCAAUAUAACCAUAAAAUGAUCCUCAUAUCCACAUAGUCCCCAUCUCCUUGACAAACUCUGAUUGGCACAAUUCAGAUGAUUAGGGUUGACCAAAGGUCAAAACCCUAAUCUCAAGGAAUCUGAUCAAGCUCAAUGAAUCUCUUGGUUGAUGACAAGACCAUGAUGAUGAUGAUGUACCAUUGCUACCAAGAUAAAGCUCAACCUCUUUGAAGAACCAUGAAACCCUAAUUUGAAGCACCAACCCUCAGAUGGCCAAUGAUCAAUCCAAUGAA